GACAGAGGGGGCAAGCGUUGCUCGGAAUCACUGGGCGUAAAGGGCGCGUAGGCGGGAUGGCAAGUCAGUCGUGAAAUCUCUCGGCUCAACCGAGAAACGUCGGCUGAUACUGCCGUUCUUGAGGGAUGCAGAGGAGACUGGAAUUCCCGGUGUAGCGGUGAAAUGUGUAGAGAUCGGGAGGAACACCGGUGGCGAAGGCGGGUCUCUGGGCAUUUCCUGACGCUGAGACGCGAAAGCGUGGGGAGCGAACAGG
rnacentral:rRNA from 1 species